rnacentral:rRNA from 1 species
AUGAUUGUGUUGGUUGUGCGUGGUGCAGCAGCGUCGUCGGGGGAGCCGCACUGCUGCGUGGACCACCACGUGUGGGGCAAGGCGCUGGAGAACAAGGGGUGCAAGCGGGAGGAGGAGGAGGACGAGUGCGACGCGUGGUGCCAGUCGGCCUGCCGCGGCGGCGAGUGCAAGAGGCGCCACAGCCUCCACUACUGCCACUGCUACUGCUGA